AGAGUUUGAUCUUGCUCAGGACUAACGCUGGCGGCGUGCCUAACACAUGCAAGUCGAACGGGGUAGCAAUACCCAGUGGCAGACGGGUGAGUAACACGUGGUCAACCUACCUCUGUGUGGGGGAUAACUAGCCGAAAGGCUAGCUAAUACCGCAUACGAUCUUCGAGUGGCAUCACAUGAAGAUGAAAGGAGCAAUCCGC
rnacentral:rRNA from 1 species